ACAGGAACUUGGUCCCAUGCCAGAGCAGACUGUGGUCCCAAACCAUUGCCUGGCCUCGAUCUGUCAGCUGCUGGCACUGAAGGGGGGUUGCACAGAG
rnacentral:snoRNA from 1 species